GGAAGACUUCAUUUAGAAAUCAAUCAUAUACAGCUUCGGUCUACCACACACCAUCAUCACUGACAAUAGUCGAUAAUUCGACAAUCAGAACUUCAAAGAGUUCUGUGCGAAAUUUCACAUUACGCGUAAACUCACAUCAGUCGGCCAUCCAUAAUCUAACGGUGAAGUGAAAGUGACAAACUGAACAAUCCUGCAUGGACUUAAAACUAGACUGAAUGAAGCUAAAGGCCUCU
rnacentral:lncRNA from 1 species